rnacentral:rRNA from 1 species
UACGUAGGGGGCAAGCGUUGUCCGGAUUUAUUGGGCGUAAAGAGCGUGUAGGCGGCCAAACAGGUCCGUUGUGAAAACUCGAGGCUCAACCUCGAGCUGUCGAUGGAAACCGUUUGGCUAGAGUCCGGAAGAGGAGAGUGGAAUUCCUGGUGUAGCGGUGAAAUGCGCAGAUAUCAGGAAGAACACCCGUGGCGAAGGCGGCUCUCUGGGACGGUACUGACGCUGAGACGCGAAAGCGUGGGGAGCAAACAGG